AUGGUUAAUAUCAGAACACCACUAUCUGAUUUAACUUCAUCAAUCUUUAAUGAAAGAAAUAUGAGUUCACCUUCACCAGCAUCUGCAUCAAGCAACUCAAGUACAAUGAAGAGUUUCAAUAUUGUUUCUACAAAUCAACUGGCUGCUUCAGCACGACAGCGGAAGAAAAGUAUUAUGGAAGGGAUGAGACUCUUAUUCACCCGAACUUCUAAAGUAAUAUGUUUUUAA